rnacentral:rRNA from 1 species
CCUACGGGAGGCAGCAGUAGGGAAUAUUGCUCAAUGGGGGAAACCCUGAAGCAGCAACGCCGCGUGGAGGAUGAAGGUUUUCGGAUUGUAAACUCCUGUUGUUAGAGAAGAUAAUGACGGUAUCUCACGAAUAAGCACCGGCUAAAUCCGUGCCAGCAGCCGCGGUAAUAUGGAGGGUGCAAGCGUUACUCGGAAUCACUGGGCGUAAAGAGCGUGUAGGCGGGAUAGCAAGUCAGAUGUGAAAUCCUAUGGCUUAACCAAAGAACUGCAUUUGAAACUGGUAUUCUAGAGUAUAGGAGAGGUAGGUGGAAUUCUUGGUGUAGGGGUAAAAUCCGUAGAGAUCAAGAGGAAUACUCGUGGCGAAGGCGACCUGCUAGAACGUAACUGACGCUGAUGCGCGAAAGCGUGGGGAGCAAACAGGAUUAGAUACCCGAGUAGUC